AGUCGUAACAAGUUUCCGAUAAGGCUGGAGGUAAUGCCUCUAGGCAUCAGUUUGUGUUUUUGAUAGAAUUUUGGCUAAGUUUCGAUUUAGGUGAACCUGCCGGAAGGGAUCAUUACCGAAGGUACUCCUGCUUGCAGGAACUCCCACCCGUGAUCAAUUCCACCGUUGCUUCGGCAAGACGUUGGAAACGGCCAUCGCCAUUGAAAUUAAUACCAAUGACGAUGUGAGCUUGCCGGAGUCUUAUACCCUUAAACUAUGUAUUAGUCAGAGAAAACAAGCAAUAAAUAAAAA
rnacentral:misc_RNA from 1 species